GACAGAGGUGCCGAGCGUUAGGCGGAAUCACUGGGCUUAAAGCGUGUGUAGGCGGGCCGUUAAGUGCCUUGUGAAAUCCCAUGGCUUAACCAUGGAACUGCUUGGCAUACUGGCGGUCUUGGGCCAGCUAGGGGCUACCGGAACAAACGGUGGAGCGGUGAAAUGCGUAGAUAUCGUUUGGAACGCCAAUGGUGAAAAACAGGUAGCUGGGGCUGGUGCCGGACGCUGA
rnacentral:rRNA from 1 species